GGAGCAAUCUCGCGUGAGGGAUGACGGCCUAUGGGUUGUAAACCUCUUUUUUCAGGGAGGAACAAAAUGACGUGUACCCUGAAGAAUAAGCAUCGGCUAACUCCGUGCCAGCAGCCGCGGUAAGAACGGAGGAUGCAAGUGUUAUCCGGAAUCACUGGGCGUAAAGCGUCUGUAGGUGGUUUAGUAAGUCAACUGUUAAAUCUUCCAGCUCAACUUCAAAAUCGCAGUCGAAACUAUUAGACUAGAGUAUAGUAGGGGUAAAGGGAAUUUCCAGUGGAGCGGUGAAAUGCGUAGAGAUUGGUAAGAACACCGAUGGCGAAGGCACUUUACUGGGCUAUUACUGACACUCAGAGACGAAAGCUAGGGUAGCGAAUGGGAUUAGAUACCCCAGUAGUCCUAGCCGUAAACAAUGGAUACUAGAUGCUUGAACAGAGUCGAGCGCUGUGUCAGUAUUUAAAGCUCAGGAGCGCGUAAGGAGGCCCUGACUGGGCAACG
rnacentral:rRNA from 1 species